UACGGAGGGCGCGAGCGUUAAUCGGAAUUACUGGGCGUAAAGCGCGCGUAGGCUGUUGUGUAAGUUGGGGGUGAAAUCCCACGGCUCAACCGUGGAACAGCCCUUGAUACUACGCGACUUGAAUCCGGGAGAGGGUGGCGGAAUUCCAGGUGUAGGAGUGAAAUCCGUAGAUAUCUGGAGGAACAUCAGUGGCGAAGGCAGCCACCUGGACCGGUAUUGACGCUGAGGCGCGAAAGCGUGGGGAGCAAACAGG
rnacentral:rRNA from 1 species